GACGAACGCUGGCGGCGUGCUUAACACAUGCAAGUCGAACGGGCCUGUCUUCUUUUUUGGGGGUGGGUUGAGUGGCGAACGGGUGAGUAUCACGUGAGUAACCUGCCCUUCGGUCCUGGAUAACCGCUUGAAAGGGCGGCUAAUACGGGGUGGUCCGGUUGGUCCGCAUGGGCUGGUCGGGAUAGAUUCACUGUUUUUGGUGUUUCGGCGGGGGAUGGGCUCGCGGCCUAUCAGCUUGUUGGUGGGGUGAUGGCCUACCAAGGCGGUGACGGGUAGCCGGCCGGGGGGAGGGGGCGGCCAAACUGGGACCGGGAUACGGCCCAGACUCCUGCGGGAGGCAGCAGUGGGGGGUAUUGCACAAUGGGCGGAAGCCUGAUGCAGCGACGUCGCGUGAGGGAUGGAGGCCUUCGGGUUGUGAACCUCUGUUUCCGGUGGUGAAGGCCCUGUCCGUGUGGUGGGGUUGACGGUAGCCGGGGAUGAAGCGCCGGCUAACUACGUG
rnacentral:rRNA from 1 species